rnacentral:misc_RNA from 1 species
GGACUACUGGGGUUUCUAAUCCUGUUUGCUCCCCACGCUUUCGAGCCUCAGCGUCAGUUACAGACCAGAGAGCCGCCUUCGCCACUGGUGUUCCUCCAUAUAUCUACGCAUUUCACCGCUACACAUGGAAUUCCACUCUCCUCUUCUGCACUCAAGUCUCCCAGUUUCCAAUGACCCUCCCCGGUUGAGCCGGGGGCUUUCACAUCAGACUUAAGAAACCGCCUGCGCUCGCUUUACGCCCAAUAAAUCCGGACAACGCUUGCCACCUACGUAUUACCGCGGCGGCUGGCACG